CAGCAUCUGCUACACAAAUGACUCCUCAACUGUUGCUUACAAAAUGGAGUAAAGUUAGAAAAGAAGUUUUCCUGAUUUGGUGUCAGGUACUAUCGUGAUUUGUCUGCCAAAAAGUAAACUAGGAGCAAAAAGAAAACUAAAAGUGUCUGAAUACAUGGAAAUUUUUAUUUGCAUACCACAAGCCCGGAGAUACAUUAAGUGUUGAACUUGAUUUAUUCUCUGCUUGAUGGAAGGAUGAAUGCUAGACUGAAAAAAAAAAAAAAAAAAAUGCACAAAAUU